AGCGAACGCUGGCGGCAGGCCUAAUACAUGCAAGUCGAGCGGCCGUAGCAAUACGGCAGCGGCAGACGGGAGAGUAACACGUGGGAACGUACCUUUCGGUUCGGAACAACCCAGGGAAACUUGGGCUAAUACCGGAUACGUCCGUAAGGAGAAAGAUUUAUCGCCGAAAGAUCGGCCCGCGUCUGAUUAGCUUGUUGGUGAGGUAACGGCUCACCAAGGCGACGAUCAGUAGCUGGUCUGAGAGGAUGAUCAGCCUCACUGGGACUGAGACACGGCCCAGACUCCUACGGGAGGCAGCAGUAGGGAAUAUUGGACAAUGGGCGCAAGCCUGAUCCAGCCAUGCCGCGUGAGUGAUGAAGGCCCUAGGGUUGUAAAGCUCUUUCGGCGGGGAAGAUAAUGACGGUACCCGCAGAAGAAGCCCCGGCUAACUUCGUGCCAGCCGCCGCGGUAA
rnacentral:rRNA from 1 species